GACGAACGCUGGCGGCGUGCUUAACACAUGCAAGUCGAGCGGAGCGGCGAACUGGUGAGUAACGCGUUAGUACCUGCCCCCCUCUCUGGGAUAGCCGUUGGAAACGGCUGCUCAUCCCGGAUAGUGGGGGAUGACUCGCGUCCUAUCAGCUUGUUGGUGGGGUAGUGGCCUACCAAGGCGACGACGGGUAGCCGGCCUGCGAGGGCGAACGGCCACAUGGGGCUGGGAUACGGCCAAAAAUGAUACGGGAGGCAGCAGUGGGGAAUAUUGCACAAUGGGGGAAACACUGAUGCAGCAACGCGCGUGCGGGAGGACGGGCUUCGGGUUGUAAACCGCUUUCAGCGAUGACGCGGUAGUGGCAGAAGAAGCACCGGCUAACUACGUGCCAGCAGCCGCGGUAAUUC
rnacentral:rRNA from 1 species